rnacentral:rRNA from 1 species
CCUACGGGUGGCAGCAGUGAGGAAUAUUGGUCAAUGGACGAGAGUCUGAACCAGCCAAGUAGCGUGAAGGAUGACUGCCCUAUGGGUUGUAAACUUCUUUUAUAAAGGAAUAAAACGAGGCACGUGUGCCUUUUUGCAUGUACUUUAUGAAUAAGGAUCGGCUAACUCCGUGCCAGCAGCCGCGGUAAUAUGGAGGAUCCGAGCGUUAUCUGGAUUUAUUGGGUUGAAAGGGAGCGUAGAUGGGUUGUUAAGUCAGUUGUGAAAGUUUGCGGCUCAACCGUAAAAUUGCAAUUGAUACUGGCAGUCUUGAGUACAGUUGAGGUAGGCGGAAUUCGUGGUGUAGCGGUGAAAUGCUUAGAUAUCACGAAGAACCCCGAUGGCGAAGGCAGCUUACUAAACUGUGACUGACAUUGAUGCUCGAAAGUGUGGGUAGCAAACAGGAUUAGAUACCCCGGUAGUC